UGCCGCGAGCAGUUGACGCUGAGUGUCCGGUUCCGGACCGGACGUGACCGUGUGCGCUGGAUGGUUCGAUUCCGUUCGCUCCGA
rnacentral:tRNA from 1 species